rnacentral:rRNA from 1 species
AGUGAACGCUGGCGGUAGGCCUAACACAUGCAAGUCGAACGGCAGCACAGUAAGAGCUUGCUCUUACGGGUGGCGAGUGGCGGACGGGUGAGGAAUACAUCGGAAUCUACUUUUUCGUGGGGGAUAACGUAGGGAAACUUACGCUAAUACCGCAUACGACCUACGGGUGAAAGCAGGGGAUCUUCGGGCCUUGCGCGAUUGAAUGAGCCGAUGUCGGAUUAGCUAGUUGGCGGGGUAAAGGCCCACCAAGGCGACGAUCCGUAGCUGGUCUGAGAGGAUGAUCAGCCACACUGGAACUGAGACACGGUCCAGACUCCUACGGGAGGCAGCAGUGGGGAAUAUUGGACAAAGGGCGCAAGCCUGAUCCAGCCAUACCGCGUGGGUGAAGAAGGCCUUCGGGUUGUAAAGCCCUUUUGUUGGGAAAGAAAAGCAGCAGGUUAAUACCCCGCUGUUCUGACGGUACCCAAAGAAUAAGCACCGACUAACUUCGUG